UACGUAGGGUGCGAGCGUUAAUCGGAAUUACUGGGCGUAAAGCGUGCGCAGGCGGCGCGUUAAGACAGGUGUGAAAGCCCCGAGCUUAACUUGGGAAUUGCGCUUGUGACUGGCGUGCUGGAGUGUGGCAGAGGGAGGUGGAAUUCCACGUGUAGCAGUGAAAUGCGUAGAGAUGUGGAGGAACACCGAUGGCGAAGGCAGCCUCCUGGGAUGACACUGACGCUCAUACACGAAAGCGUGGGGAGCAAACAGG
rnacentral:rRNA from 1 species